UAGUGGCGAACGGGUGAGUAACACGUGGGCAAUCUGCCCUUCACUCUGGGACAAGCCCUGGAAACGGGGUCUAAUACCGGAUACGACUACCGACCGCAUGGUCUGGUGGUGGAAAGCUCCGGCGGUGAAGGAUGAGCCCGCGGCCUAUCAGCUUGUUGGUGGGGUGAUGGCCUACCAAGGCGACGACGGGUAGCCGGCCUGAGAGGGCGACCGGCCACACUGGGACUGAGACACGGCCCAGACUCCUACGGGAGGCAGCAGUGGGGAAUAUUGCACAAUGGGCGAAAGCCUGAUGCAGCGACGCCGCGUGAGGGAUGACGGCCUUCGGGUUGUAAACCUCUUUCAGCAGGGAAGAAGCGAGAGUGACGGUACCUGCAGAAGAAGCGCCGGCUAACUACGUGCCAGCAGCCGCGGUAAUACGUAGGGCGCAAGCGUUGUCCGGAAUUAUUGGGCGUAAAGAGCUCGUAGGCGGCUUGUCACGUCGGAUGUGAAAGCCCGGGGCUUAACCCCGGGUCUGCAUUCGAUACGGGCAGGCUAGAGUUCGGUAGGGGAGAUCGGAAUUCCU
rnacentral:rRNA from 4 species